rnacentral:rRNA from 1 species
GUGCAGCAGUCGCGAAGACUCUGCAAUACGCGAAAGCGUGACAGGGCUACCCCGAGUGUCGUCCGCUGAGGACGACUUUUCCACGCUGUAAGGAGGCGUGGGAAUAAGGAGAGGGCAAGUCUGGUGUCAGCCGCCGCGGUAAUACCAGCUCUCCGAGUGGUAGGGAUGAUUAUUGGGCUUAAAGCGUCCGUAGCUGGCCUUUCAAGUCUCUUGUUAAAUCCAGCGAUUCAAUCGUUGGACUGCGGGAGAUACUGUUAGGCUAGGGGGCGGGAGAAGCCGACGGUAUUUCCGGGGUAGGGGUAAAAUCCUAUAAUCCCGGGAAGACCACCAGUGGCGUAGGCGGUCGGCUAGCACGCGCUCGACGGUGAGGGACGAAAGCCAGGGGCGCAAACGGGAUUAGAUACCCCCGUAGUCC